GUAGUCUGCAACCCGACUACAUGAAGCUGGAAUCGCUAGUAAUCGCGAAUCAGAAUGUCGCGGUGAAUACGUUCCCGGGUCUUGUACACACCGCCCGUCACACCAUGGGAGAUGGAUAUGCCCGAAGUCAGUGACCUAACCGAAAGGGAGGAGCUGCCGAAAGUGGAGCCAUUAACUGGGGUGAAGUCGUAACAAGGUAGC
rnacentral:rRNA from 1 species